UUUCCCGAACUGGGUCACCACCACCAGGAUGUGGCUGCUGAAGGCCGUGCAGACCACCUGGGUUGGUACCCCACACACCACUUCAGUCUUCUGUUUUGAUACCACCAAUGGUUUGCCUUCCAUGGCUGGGUCUCCCGCGCUCACUGCCCCCAGGAGCAGGCGAGUCCUGCACCCGGCAG